AGAGAGAGAGAGAAUGAGAAUGAAUUUGGUUUUGUGCGCUCUUCACCUCUCGUCAACUUCCCCCAAUUCACCCCUCAACCCAGUCCUGUACAGUAGUUGUGAAAUGUAAUGUGUAAACAAUAGCUAGGGUAACAGCUCAUAAAUCAAACACAGUAGGUUGCAGUCCAAUCUGCAUUUCCCCAACGGAUUGAAUCUCGGCAACACAUGUGUCCUCGAUCUGGAGCUUUGGACUUUGAGCACUGGAAGCAAUGUUGAUUUUUAAUGAUAAAACUGAUUACAUGCAAAGAAUUCUGGAGAAGAAGCUCAGCAUCUUCUGAGUGGUAGGAUUCUGUCCCAGAUUGCUCAUCCCACUCACGCCAUCCAAAAGCCGGUCAUUCUCACUAUCAAGGGUAAGAAACAAAAAUUCCAGAAGUUUAUAUUGAAGGAUCACAAAAGGUGAGAAGAGGAACCUUAUCUUUGUUCUUUUUAUAUCAUCGGAUUUUUAUUGUUUAUAAUGAGUAUAAGCAAAGGGUUGUUAUCUGGAAUUUAUUUUCUUCUUAUCCAAAGACAAAUCAAAGGACUAACCUGCACAGCAGCCUUAGGCAUUCCAUUUAAACAAGACUGAACUUGUUUUAAAUAAAUGUCUAUUAAAUCCUGCUGGAAAUGGAUAGGGGGGAGGGGAGAGGAUUUUCUUUCUUCAUAUUAGUCCUAGAAGCAUAUUGCCUCUCUAAUGAUAUCUUCCUGUCCCUAAACAGAAUAAGAACCAGUUUUCCUGGUAUUACUGUAAUGAUUAGGGGCUUCACUAGAGAAAAGAAAGCUGCUAGUCAUCUAUCUCCUGGGGAGUAAGCUGCUUCAGGAAAGGUAAGGUUCUAGAAAGAAAGGAACAAUCUGAUGCCCUAGUUAAGGAAUUUUAUUUUUUCAGCAGCUCAGGAUAAUAUAUGUGGUACUUGCCCAAGGGAGGGAUCUCAGAGCAUCAAAAGGGUAGAAAAGGGUCCAGGAUAUUUGCUUCUUCAUUUGUCUGCUUGUUGAUUUAUUUCCAUUAAAGGUGUUCUCCCCUGGGGAAACCCAUGGUGUCCCAGCAGCUCCAGCUGCAACUGCAUGCAAUGUACAGAUGUGCCUUCCUAAUGGACACCUUUCCCACUGGCUAUACCAGAAUCAGGUUCAUUUUGCUUGGGCAUCUUACCUCCUUUAAAAAUGGUAUAUAAAAUUUGAGUUUAAAUAAUAAGGGAUAUGGUCCUGCAGUGUGGCUGGCAUUCUUAGCAGAGUUUCCAAUCAAGUUGACCUUCUGGACUGAUAUCAGAAUCCAUUUCUGGGUGUCUAGGAAGAAUCCCAAAGGAGCCACUGCUGGAUAUGCAAUUUGUGCCUAUGAAACAUCUGGCUCAUUCCAGAAUAUUUCUUCUUAUUGUCAUGGUUAUUUUUUAUAAUUAUACUGUCAUGUUCUAAUUUGCUGUUUGAUGAUGAUGAUACCUCCAGAUGCUACUUAAUCGAUAUUAUUGUUUUUGAGUGUCUUUACUGUUAUUUCUGUUUCUAUCACAGAUGAAUACUGUGAAACUAGACAGCUCCAACUGGAAUUUGCAAAUUUCUGAGCUCACUUUGCAGGGAGGGAAGUGGUACUUACUGCUGAAUUUAUUCCCACCCACCUUACUUCUUUCCCUUUUCAUCUUUCUACAGGUGUGAAAUUUGUGUGGGGCAUUUCCGAAUUCAAGAAUUGGAAUGAUCAGGCAAAUGCAGGAAACUAGUUAUGAGACUUCUGAAAUGGAAAGAAUUUGAAUGGGUCUGCACAUUCUGAUGUAAAUGGAUACAGAGAGCAAUCAAAGAGCCUGGUUUUCUAUUUUAAGCCAGUUAUUGUUUUCACUUCUUAUUACAUUUUUAGAAGGCCAGCUCCUUAUCCCAACAGAGAGUUGUUAGCUUUUUCACCUGAAUAGGGAAGACAUAGGAAGAGGUGAAGAAGGGAAAGAGGAAGACAUAAAGGAGAAGGGUAAAGAGGAAGGAAGCAGGGGGAAAAAUGAGGAAGAAAGAGGGGUCAUAAGAAAGGGGUGAGUAAAAGGAGAAGAGUGAAAUGAGAAAAACAAAUAGGAAAGGGAAGAGAAAUAGGACAAUGAGACUUAAGAGGGAGAACAUGAAGAAGGGGGAAAGAUGAGCUAGAGAAGAGAAAGAAUGAAGGGGAGAAGUAGAAGAAAAGGAAAAGGGAGGGAUGGAAAAAAGAAGUAGAGGAGAGCUAAAGAAAGAAAAGGAGGAGGGGAAAGAAAGAGAAGAAGAGAGAAAAGACAAGAAAGACAAUAAGGGAGAGGGGAGAUAAUUUUAAAAAUUUAGAAAAAUGUUUCAUCUCUAUUAUUUAAUCAAAGGGACACAAAAAGUUAUCAAUAAAUCCAUGUGUAUUUAUUGUCUCUACGUCUGUCCAUCUACCAAAUUAUUCGUGGGUUUUAGUGUAGAGUUUUCUUAGCACCUCUGAUAAAGGAUUAAUAGGAAGCUUUGAAAAGAUAGUCUACUUCCUCUCUUCUUGCUUCCAAAGAAAUGGAGUUCUUGAUCCAUAGCAUAGUUGCACACACAAUUCCUUUCUUCCUUUUCCCCUCCCUGUUUCUCCACCCAAAACUGGUUCUGGAAAAAGGAACCAAAUGGAAGGAUCGUCUGCUUCUUCACAAAACUUCCCUCCCUACACAUUUUAGAUAGAGAACUAAAAUUUGAAUCUGUUAUCUGAUUCCCAGUGGUCUGCUAAUGCUGUGGACAUCAUACUAUUCAGCCCAACUAUCUCCUUACCCAGCACUUGAAAGAAGAGAAGCAUAUGGACUAUAAUGCCUUUCUUCCCCAGGAGAGGGUUUCCUUGUGAUUGAGGGAGUGGGGAGAGGAAGAAGUAGAGUAAAAUUAUUAUCAGGAUUUAAUGUUCCCAGAAGAGAGUGGAAGUUGUGAAUGGCUGUUGAUCCCAGUAAAGGCUCUUCUUAGCUAUUUCAAGUAACCUAGCAGGAAAGAACUCCCCCAAUGUUAUGUCUCUAAAUUAACAAUGCUGCUGUCCCCCCAACCCACGUGAUUGAGGAAUUUGAGAGAAUUUUUUUUCUAUUUUAUUUCCCUUUUUUAAGGAAAAAGAAAGGAAGAGCCUCCAGUCUUAACAUCUUAACAGAUUUUGCUUCCUAGCCCAUCCAGAACUGCUUUGCAUUUAUAAGAGAAUUUUUUUUUUAGAAUAGGUGAUCUCAGAGGCUCACACAGGAGCAUUUUGAACACUGGCCUCAGCUCCACCUCUCAACUCUGAUCCUAUUUCAGGAGGUGAGUGAGGAGCAAAUGAAAGCUUGCCCAGCCUUCUGACUUUUGUCCUGAACAGCUGUGCUUAUUUCCCUUCCCUGGCCCAAAAAGUCUCCUGGGAGAAAAUAGAUUGCAGAUAAGACUGAAGUACAGGCAGGGAAACUGUGAAGCUCAAAUAAAAUACUGGAGAUAAUUUUUUUUCAAACUUUAAGGCAUAAUAUAGAUACCAAUUAUUGUUGUUGUUGUUAUAGAGUUACCAGGCUCCUGUCUGAUGAUGAUUUUAUUCCCUAAACCUUCUACUUGAUGAUCUCAAGCAAGACUGGAAGAUGCUGAUGGGGACAUUAAAUCCAAGACACUAGGUGAAAUAACUAACAAGGAGAAGAGCCAUGAUCUGCACAUCAGUACUCUAGGCUUCAAAUCCAAUGUUUGGGAAGUUCUGAAAGGAAGAAUCAUUCCCAAAUGGUGACGAUGAUUGUGAUCGUGGUGGUGAUGAUGGUUCAGUUUCUUAUCUGUAAAUGGAGGAGGUUGAACUUGAUAAACUCUUAUGUCCCUUUCAAUUCUAAACACAAUAAUCAAAAAAGCCAUCAUGGAUGUCUCAUUUUGGAUGCAACUUGAUGAAUUGUUUAGAUAUUAAUAAAAAGAAAUUGGAAAAUUG